UUAGUUCAUCUUCCUUGUCUUUUCUUUCUUCGUUUAUGUUGUCUCUUUGUUCUCUUUUUGUCUCUCUCUCGUUAAAACCCUAUUCAUCUCCUCCAACUUCCUCAAAUUGAGAUUCUUUCUCUCUUUAAUUUCUCUUCUUUCGUAUCACUUUUGCCACCUUUGCCAUCGUUCGCUUGCUUUCUUUCUUCUUCUCUUUCUUUCGUUUUUACCCUAUUCCUUUCUUUCUCUUCCUUUAGGAAACCCUCAUUUUGAUUCCCCCUUUUUUUUUUUUGGAAUUUUAACGCAUCUCCUGUAAUGUGAAUCAUGAAAUGCUCUCCAGGGAUUAUGAUGGAAAUCUGUGGAGUUGUAGAGAGGCGCUGAGGAGGAACGAUCGAUUUUCGUGAUGAGAUCCUACAACGGAUUUCAUCAGAAGAACCUUUUGAUUUUCUAGCUGAGGAGGAACGAUCGAUUGUCGUGAUGAGAUCUAGCAACAGAUUUCAUCGGAAGAACCUUUUCAUUUUCUAUUCCAUCAGCUCCAGUUUUCGUGUGUCCGCGCAAUGGAGCUGUACGACCGGUCCAGCGAGGGUUUCUGAUUUGAUCAGUCUUCAGAGUGGAUCGAAAUUUGCCUCGAAGAAAUUGAAAAAAAUUCCACACUAGCCAGAACGAGGGAGAAUCGGUAUCACAGAAUGAUCUUUUAUUGCUCUUCAAAGAGAAGGUACUAUAGUACACUGUUUCUACUAUACUGUUUUUUGCUUGGAUGUUGCAUUGAUAUAUGAGUCUUGUUGCUGCAGUGUUUCCAAGUGGAAGCAUUGCUUUUCUCCCAAUCUUCAUUAUUAUAGAAUUUUGCAUAAAGUUCGCUACUAAUUAUUGAUCAUAUUGUGGAUAUAUAGAGUAUAGGCUGAUAGAGUUAUUGGAAGUGAUUUUUAAAUAGAUUUUGGUUGCCUGUUAAUUGAAGGGAAACAAAUGUAUGUUCCUUUAAUCGUAGUCAGAUAUUUACUUUGCAUUGAUUUUUCAAGAAACCAGAAAACAUUGUUGUUGAUAUGCUUCCUGUUCAUCCAAUUAGACCUAACAUGAAAUAUUUGAAUUCUGUUGAUCAAUAUACCUGCUACCCAACAGUUUGUAGAUGGAAAAAAUUGGCCACUGUAUAUGUCUUUGCUUUGAUGGAGAAUGUACGAAAAUUUUCUGAUACAAGACUUCUCCGAGCUAGACUCUACCUAGCUGGAAAGUUCUCUCAUUAUGAUACAGAUAGUGUAAAAUCAUCUCCAAGGCUAUUUAACAUGUGUUCUCAUAUAUGCGACUCAGAGGGACAAUUGUAUUUUAUGAAGGUAACUUGAUGUAUCAUCUGUUUUAUUCUUGCCUGAAGCAUGAAAGUUUCCUUUAUAGAUUUUGUUCCUAUGUGAUAAAUGAGAUUGCCU